CCUACGGGAGGCUGCAGUGGGGAAUAUUGGACAAUGGGGGGAACCCUGAUCCAGCCAUGCCGCGUGUGUGAAGAAGGCCCUCGGGUUGUAAAGCACUUUCAGUGAGGAAGAACGCCUGGUGGUUAAUACCCAUCAGGAAAGACAUCACUCACAGAAGAAGCACCGGCUAACUCCGUGCCAGCAGCCGCGGUAAUACGGAGGGUGCGAGCGUUAAUCGGAAUUACUGGGCGUAAAGCGCGCGUAGGUGGCUUGAUAAGCCGGUUGUGAAAGCCCCGGGCUCAACCUGGGAACGGCAUCCGGAACUGUCAAGCUAGAGUGCAGGAGAGGAAGGUAGAAUUCCCGGUGUAGCGGUGAAAUGCGUAGAGCUCGGGAGGAAUACCAGUGGCGAAGGCGGCCUUCUGGACUGACACUGACACUGAGGUGCGAAAGCGUGGGUAGCAAACAGGAUUAGAUACCCGAGUAGUC
rnacentral:rRNA from 1 species